rnacentral:rRNA from 1 species
GUGAGGAAUAUUGGGCAAUGGGCGAAAGCCUGACCCAGCCACGCCGCGUGAGUGAUGAAGGCCUUCGGGUUGUAAAGCUCUGUGGGGAGGGAAGAAAAAGCGGGAGAGUAACUGCUCUCGUGUUGACGGUACCUCCUUAGCAAGCACCGGCUAACUCUGUGCCAGCAGCCGCGGUAAUACAGAGGGUGCAAACGUUGCUCGGAAUUACUGGGCGUAAAGCGCGUGUAGGCUGACAUGCAAGUCGGGUGUGAAAUCCCAGGGCUCAACCUUGGAACUGCACUCGAAACUGCACGUCUUGAGUACGAGAGAGGGAAGCGGAAUUCCGGGUGUAGAGGUGAAAUUCGUAGAUAUCCGGAGGAACACCAGUGGCGAAGGCGGCUUCCUGGACAGUAACUGACGCUGAGACGCGAAAGCGUGGGGAGCAAACAGGAUUAGAAACCCUGGUAGUCC